GACGAACGCUGGCGGCGUGCCUAAUACAUGCAAGUAGAACGCUGAAGGAGGAGCUUGCUCUUCUGGAUGAGUUGCGAACGGGUGAGUAACGCGUAGGUAACCUGCCUGGUAGCGGGGGAUAACUAUUGGAAACGAUAGCUAAUACCGCAUAAGAGUAGAUGUUGCAUGACAUUUACUUAAAAGGUGCAAUUGCAUCACUACCAGAUGGACCUGCGUUGUAUUAGCUAGUUGGUGGGGUAACGGCUUACCAAGGCGACGAUACAUAGCCGACCUGAGAGGGGGAGCGGCCACACUGGGACGGAGACACGGCCCAGACUCCUACGGGAGGCAGCAGUAGGGAAUCUUCGGCAAUGGACGGAAGUCUGACCGAGCAACGCCGCGGGAGUGAAGAAGGGUUUCGGAUCGGAAAGCUCUGUUGUAAGAGAAGAACGAGUGUGAGAGUGGAAAGUUCACACUGUGACGGUAGCUUACCAGAAAGGGACGGCUAACUACGUG
rnacentral:rRNA from 1 species